rnacentral:rRNA from 1 species
CGGACGGGUGAGUAAUGCUUGGGAAUCUGGCUUAUGGAGGGGGAUAACUGUGGGAAACUGCAGCUAAUACCGCGUAUUCUCUGAGGAGGAAAGGGUGGGACCUUAGGGCCACCUGCCAUAAGAUGAGCCCAAGUGGGAUUAGGUAGUUGGUGGGGUAAAGGCCUACCAAGCCUGCGAUCUCUAGCUGGUCUGAGAGGAUGACCAGCCACACUGGAACUGAGACACGGUCCAGACUCCUACGGGAGGCAGCAGUGGGGAGUAUUGCGCAAUGGGGGGAACCCUGACGCAGCCAUGCCGCGUGAAUGAAGAAGGCCUUCGGGUUGUAAAGUUCUUUCGGUAAUGAGGAAGGGAUGUUGUUAAAUAGAUAGCAUCAUUGACGUUAAUUACAGAAGAAGCACCGGCUAACUCCGUGCCAGCAGCCGCGGUAAUACGGAGGGUGCGAGCGUUAGUCGGAAUAACUGGGCGUAAAGGGCACGCAGGCGGACUUUUAAGUGAGACGUGAAAUCCCCGAGCUUAACUUGGGAACUGCAUUUCAGACUGGGAGUCUAGAGUACUUUAGGGAGGGGUAGAAUUCCACGUGUAGCGGUGAAAUGCGUAGAGAUGUGGAGGAAUACCGAAGGCGAAGGCAGCCCCUUGGGAAUGUACUGACGCUCAUGUGCGAGAGCGUGGGGAGCAAACAGGAUUAGAUACCCUGGUAGUCCACGCUGUAAACGCUGUCGAUUUGGGGAUUGGGCUAUAUGCUUGGUGCCCGAA